rnacentral:rRNA from 1 species
GUAGGUGGCAAGCGUUGUCCGGAAUUAUUGGGCGUAAAGCGCGCGCAGGCGGUUCUUUAAGUCUGAUGUGAAAGCCCACGGCUCAACCGUGGAGGGUCAUUGGAAACUGGAGAACUUGAGUACAGAAGAGGAAAGCGGAAUUCCACGUGUAGCGGUGAAAUGCGUAGAGAUGUGGAGGAACACCAGUGGCGAAGGCGGCUUUCUGGUCUGUAACUGACGCUGAGGCGCGAAAGCGUGGGGGAGCAAACAGGAUUAGAUACCCUGGUAGUCCACGCCGUAAGCGAUGAGUGCUAAGUGUUAGGGGGUUUCCGCCCCCCCCUUAGUGCUGCAGCUAACGCAUUAAGCACUCCGCCUGGGAGUACGGCCGCAAGGCUG